UCUCUGGGCCUGAGACUUUGGGGGACAGUGGCUGCCAGACGCCGGGUAUAUGAGGCAGGGUGAUAUUCUGGGCCUGAUCGUGUGACCCCAGGUAUUUGGUGGACAAGGGUGUGGGUGACUACAUGUGUAAAGGAUUCUGGUGUGUGUGUGUGUGUGUGUGUGUGUGUGUGUGUGUGUGUGUGUGUGUAACUAGGUAACACUGUGUCAGUGUGAGUGCAAGUGUGUCAUUGGGCUUUGUGUUCCCAUCAGACAAUGCUGUUGGGUUCUCGAGUAUGCUCUCUGCCUUUCUGGUCUCAUUUCCCCAACACAGGGGUGGACCCAGAGGUGGCUUCCAGGAGAGUUACAGACCAUCAGAGCUGGAAGGAGGCCAAGACAAAACAGUCCAAACUCCUCACUUCACGUAUUUGGAAAUUGAGGCUCAGCUGUAUGUAGAAAGGGGUGUGUGAACAAUAAAAACACAGUCAAAUUCAUGCAGAGGUAGAUCUCAGAGUAGGAGAGACCUGUAAGUAAUCCAUGAUUGCUUCUCCCCCCCUCUGGGAAUCCCCUCAAUAAUGUGCCUGGUAAGGUCAUUCCUUCUCUCCUACUCACUGGACAGAGUAGGGAUUUAAAUUUCAUCCACUCUGAGUUGCCUCAUCAUCCCAGUCUGUUAACAGUUUCUGUUUCAUCCCUGCUGAGAAUUCACAGGCACGUAGGAGGGUGUGACUAUGGAUAAAAAAGCAAAAUCACAAGCAAGUUUUGGAGACUCAGUCCAUCAUCUGCAAAAUCCCCUACAUUCUUAGACUUCUCGGCUCCUUCCCUUUCUCUUCUCUCAGGAAAUGAGACAUCACUCAAGAAUACACCUAUCACAACCUGACUUCCAUCACAUACUUACAUUUACCAAGGGUGUGCGUCCCAUGAAGGAAAGGAAUCUGCUCACUGUUUUAUCUCCAGCACUUAGAGCAGUGUCUGACUUCUGAUAGUUCCAGUUUGCCUCCCAGCAAGGUUGUCAUCAGGCUUCAAGGCCACCAGUGCAUGCGAAUGCCUGUUUACUCACGUCCUUGCCUAAAUUGGGUCUUAUCAGACUUUUAAUUUUUGCUAAUCUGUGAAAAUGAUAUCUUGUUCUGAUUUAUACUUUUAAAAUUCUGAGUGAGAUGGAAUAUUAAAAAAUAUUUUUGACAGA